rnacentral:rRNA from 1 species
CGCACAGUAAACGAUGAAUACCAGCUGUUGGCGAUAGACAGUCAGCGGCGUAAGCGAAAGCGUUAAGUAUUCCACCUGGGGAGUACGCCGGCAACGGUGAAACUCAAAGGAAUUGACGGGGGCCCGCACAAGCGGAGGAACAUGUGGUUUAAUUCGAAGCAACGCGAAGAACCUUACCUGGACUUGACAUCCCCUGAAUGACUCGUAAUGGAGGAAGCCCUACGGGGCAGGGAGACAGGUGG